rnacentral:rRNA from 1 species
GUCUGCAACUCGACUACAUGAAGCUGGAAUCGCUAGUAAUCGCGGAUCAGAAUGCCGCGGUGAAUACGUUCCCGGGUCUUGUACACACCGCCGUCACACCAUGGGAGUCAGUAACGCCCGAAGCCGGUGACCCAACCUAUUCUGGAGGGAGCCGUCGAAGGCGGGACGGAUGACUGGGGUGAAGUCGUAACAAGGUAGC